GACGAACGCUGGCGGCGUGCUUAACACAUGCAAGUCGAGCGGUAAGGCCCUUCGGGGUACACGAGCGGCGAACGGGUGAGUAACACGUGGGUGACCUGCCUCUAGCUCUGGGAUAAGCCUGGGAAACUGGGUCUAAUACCGGAUAUGACUCCACGGCGCAUGUUGUGGGGUGGAAAGCCUUGUGUGGCUAGAGAUGGGCCCGCGGCCUAUCAGCUUGUUGGUGGGGNAUGGCCUACCAAGGCGACGACGGGUAGCCGGCCUGAGAGGGCGACCGGCCACACUGGGACUGAGACACGGCCCAGACUCCUACGGGAGGCAGCAGUGGGGAAUCUUGCGCAAUGGGCGAAAGCCUGACGCAGCGACGCCGCGUGAGGGAUGACGGCCU
rnacentral:rRNA from 1 species